UGGCUCAGAGGUUAAGAGCACUUGACUGCUCUUCUAGAGGUCCUGAGUUCAAUUCCCAG
rfam:Cricetulus griseus cell line CHO-K1, whole genome shotgun sequence.